UCACCCUAGCCUGCUGUCCAGAAUCCAGCCACAUAUCUACCAGCUGGCCUUCAGUGCCACUAAAGCCUCUGGUUUUAGGGUAUGUGACAUCAAGGCAUCAGAGCAAAGGCCUAAUCACGUUAACAUCCACAACCAGACGCUCCACUCAUUUGACUAAUCAAAGAGAACAGCUCGUUCAGAGAGAAGAGAGGCACUGUAUGAGGGACGUCUGAGAGAGAAAAACAUCAAAAGGCAACAUAAUCCAGAGGCUGAGGAAUGCAGCUGGGUAGACUUCAUGUGGCCACCUGGGUUCUUCUCAAGUCUAACCCACUUCCAGAGCACCCUUAGAGGUCUGCAGAGUCUGUUGAAUGGCAUUGCAAAGGGAAAUGCUGCAGUUGCAGGCGCGUCCAUCAUCAGCACCACAGUUGAUUGCACACUGGCCUAAAUUCCUGCAUCCAAAUGAGCAUAACCAA